rnacentral:lncRNA from 1 species
GAAAAACCACUAACUGAUAUCUUAUCUCUGAACAAAUAGUAACCACAUGGAUUUAAUAUGAUCCUUAACAUUAUGCACAACACAUUCGAAAUUCUCAGAUUCAAUAACACGGGAAUUCUAGGACAAAGCGUGAUUAAUACAGGAAGCUUGAGAAUUCUGUUAUGCCCCUCGGAAUGCAAAAUUGAAAAUGCUUCAGAAUGUUUCCAUUCAAACCGUGUACACAUCAAUUUAAUCAAAAUGGUACUCUUAAGACUUCUCCUGACUUCAAACUUGCAACUAUUGAAGGAAAAUACAACAAUUUCAGAGGCGGGUUGGUCCAAAAUAUGCCAUAGUACUAAGUUAAAACAAAGACCAUUUAAUCAGGGAAAUGGAAUCCCAUCCUUUAAGUUUCAACAAAAUAAAAUGAUUCAACUUAAUGACAGACUAAACAUGCUUCAAAUCACUUUUAAUAAAAUAGAAGAUCAUAGCAGUAACGAUGCUUAUUUUGAAAUCAACAUCUUUGAAUUCCUGAAAAUUGGUUAACACACCAUGCUGUAUUGAAAUUGACUAACAAAACCAACCAUUAACUCAAUCCAAACAUGUAAUGAAGAUAAUUUUUCAGAUUCCUACAAUCAGAAGAAGCUUGCAAGCAAGCACAUAAUUCUAAUUCUUAUUUGUCAAUUAGGAAAUAGACCAUGAGAACCUUGAGAAAAGUUGAUUCAUUCUUUUAAACCAGGGAAAGAGAAAAAGAAAGAAAGAACACAUAACCAUGCUAAUCACUUCACACAAAAUACUCAAAAGAGCACAACUGACAUAGAACUAUCAACUUGGACACACCUCCUAUAAUGAAAUGGAACGAACAGAAGAUGGAUGAACAAAUUUGUUAUCACUAUGAAAUUUAAAUAUGUCUAUUCAUGGCUUCUUCUAAGCUCGAUUCAAGAAAAAUAAAGAGUGGGGAAAAGGAAAUCCACCUGUUAAGUAAUUCUUCUUUUAACAACAGCAAUGAAAAAUGUCGUUUACAACCAAAUCCUUCUUUCCUAGCUGCUGGAAAUAAAGAGAUGAGACCGCAACGAGAAACACAAAACACUAACAAAACUCGAAACGGAAAAAUAAUCUUCAACUCCGACGAACUCAGACCAUCCUUAAUCAAAUUCCAUCGUUGGAAAAUCAAAUCAAGAAGCCAAAUACAUGUAAUAAUUUUUUGUGUUUUUCUGUUUCUGGAAAUCAAAGAGUAAACUGAAAAAAAAACUAAAUCAAAGAGGAUGACCUAAAAUAUCAGGAAAAAAAACCAAAGACUUCUUUUUCGGAUGACAAAUUCUAAAAAUCCACUUAGAAAAAUCUCCGAAAUUUUUUUCUUCCUCCCCAAAUCUCUGAAAACCCCACUAUAUAUACUCAACUCUCGAAGCUUCUGCCCUCUUCUCCACGAAAUCCCAAAAUCUUAUCCCCAAAUCCGCAAAAACGAACCCCAAUCUCACAUAGAGCAAAACCAAGACAAAUGGAAAGCAUGGAUCUGAUUUCUCACAUCCAACCGCUCCCAUUUAACCGAGAUUCAUCCCAAGAAAUCAAAAGCGCGUGAGAAUGGCAUAAUGCUGAAAAUAUUCUGUCAGAGAACGGUUAUGCCAUGUUGGAGAGGAGGGGACCAUGUGUGAUGAGUUUGGGGAAGAACUCGUCUGAAAACUCAGACGAGUGGGGCGAUUUGGGAGAGCAUAAUCGGGGAUAGGGGUGGGUGCCGUUUCUG